AAGCGCGCGUAGGUGGUUUGUUAAGUUCGGAUGUGAAAGCCCCGGGCUCAACCUGGGAACUGCAUCCAAAACUGGCAAGCUAGAGUAUGGUAGAGGGUGGUGGAAUUUCCUGUGUAGCGGUGAAAUGCGUAGAUAUAGGAAGGAACACCAGUGGCGAAGGCGACCACCUGGACUGAUACUGACACUGAGGUGCGAAAGCGUGGGGAGCAAACAGGAUUAGAUACCCUUGU
rnacentral:rRNA from 1 species